rnacentral:rRNA from 1 species
CCUACGGGAGGCAGCAGUGGGGAAUAUUGCGCAAUGGGCGAAAGCCUGACGCAGCGACGCCGCGUGAGGGAUGAAGGUCUUCGGAUCGGAAACCUCUGUCAGUAGGGAAGUACGGUCACUGUGCUAAUCAGCAGUGAAUUGACGGUACCUGCAAAGGAAGCACCGGCUAACUCCGUGACAGCCGCCGCGGUAAUACGGAGGGUGCGAGCGUUAAUCGGAUUUACUGGGCGUAAAGCGCUCGUAGGGGGUAUGUAAAGUCAAGGGUGAAAUCCCCGCGCUCAACGUGGGAACUGCCUUGGAAACUGGCAAGAUGGAGUGUGUGAGAGGAUAGUGGAAUUCCAGGUGUAGGAGUGAAAUCCGUAGAUAUCUGGAGGAAC